rnacentral:tRNA from 1 species
UAGCUCAGUCGGUAGAGCAUUGGACUUUUAAUCCAAGGGUCGAAAUUUUUUAGAAUUUC